rnacentral:rRNA from 1 species
CAAAAUCCAGAGAACUUAGCAGAGAUGCUUUGGUGCCUUCGGGAACUCUGAGACAGGUGCUGCAUGGCUGUCGUCAGCUCGUGUUGUGAAAUGUUGGGUUAAGUCCCGCAACGAGCGCAACCCUAUCCUUUGUUGCCAGCGGUUCGGCCGGGAACUCAAAGGAGACUGCCAGUGAUAAACUGGAGGAAGGUGGGGAUGACGUCAAGUCAUCAUGGCCCUUACGAGUAGGGCUACACACGUGCUACAAUGGCGCAUACAAAGAGAAGCGAACUUGCGAGAGUAAGCGGACCUCAUAAAGUGCGUCGUAGUCCGGAUUGGAGUCUGCAACUCGACUCCAUGAAGUCGGAAUCGCUAGUAAUCGUAGAUCAGAAUGCUACGGUGAAUACGUUCCCGGGCCUUGUACACACCGCCCGUCACACCAUGGGAGUGGGUUGCAAAAGAAGUAGGUAGCUUAACCUUCGGGAGGGCGCUUACCACUUUGUGAUUCAUGACUGGGGUGAAGUCGUAACAAGGUAGGCGUAGACGU